CGGGCAACCUGCCCUCAGCUCUGGGAUAACCCCGGGAAACCGGGGCUAAUACCGGAUACUCUCCUCUGACCACCUGGUCGGAUUUUUUUUUUUUUUGAGGAAAGGUCCGCCGGUCGGGGAUGGGCCCGCGGCCUAUCAGCUUGUUGGCGGGGUAACGCCUACCAAGGCAUCGACGGGUAGCUGGUCUGAGAGGACGACCAGCCACACUGGGACUGAGACACGGCCCAGACUCCGUACGGGAGGCA
rnacentral:rRNA from 1 species